UACAGAGGGUGCGAGCGUUGUCCGGAAUCACUGGGCGUAAAGGGCGCGUAGGCGGCUCAGUAAGGUUGCGGUGAAAGCCCGGGGCUCAACCCCGGGUCGGCCGUGGCAACUGCUGGGCUAGAGCACUGUAGAGGCAGGUGGAAUUCCGGGUGUAGCGGUGGAAUGCGUAGAGAUCCGGAAGAACACCGGUGGCGAAGGCGGCCUGCUGGGCAGUAGCUGACGCUGAGGAGCGAAAGCGUGGGGAGCGAACAGG
rnacentral:rRNA from 1 species